CCAAACAGAAACCAAGCUGUGAAGCUGAGGCGUGGCUGUUGCUGUUCCGUCGUCCUCGUCUCCUGCGUCCCAGUUUAGGUUUUCACGCCCAAUUUGUAUAAGGUCCCGAGGCCCCACCUCGCCCCACAUUCCAGCUUCCGCAGAACCUGAGGCCGGGAAAGGAACCUAUUUCCUCCCUCACCACCCUUGCCUGGGCCCUCUCGGCCCCCUGACCAUGGCCCAGAAGCCGAAGGUGGACCCCCACGUCGGGCGCCUGGGAUACCUGCAAGCACUGGUCACGGAGUUCCAAGAGACGGAGAGCCAAGACGCCAAGGAGCAAGUACUGGCCAACCUCGCCAACUUCGCCUACGACCCCAAUAACUACCAGUAUCUGCGGCAGCUGCAGGUCGUUGAUUUAUUCCUCGAUUCGCUGUCGGAGGAGAAUGAAACCCUGGUGGAGUUUGCUAUUGGAGGCCUCUGCAACCUGUGUCCAGACAGGGCCAACAAGGAGCACAUCCUGCAGACAGGGGGCAUCCCCCUCAUCAUCAACUGCCUGUCCAGUCCCAACGAGGAGACCGUGCUGUCUGCGGUCACCACGCUCAUGUACCUGAGCUCGCCAGGCUCCAGCUCGCACCCUGAGCUCACUGCCAUGCCCGUGGUGCAGUGCAUGCUGCGCUUCUCUCUCUCGGCCAACACGAGGCUCCGGAACCUGGCCCAGAUCUUCCUCGAAGACUUCUGUUCGCCAAGCCUGGUGGCAGAAGCCCGCAGCUGGCGGGCUCACUCUGCCCUGGGUAUCCCACUGCCAAGGACUGAGGCCCCGCAGCAGCCCUGAUCCAAGGAGAUCUCGUGGCCAUGGCACCCCGACUGCUAGAGACAAGACCACAAUCCGGGUGGGGGCUCAGGGAGCAGGAGCAGUCUGGCUCCCACUGAGCCUGUUCCCCCCAAAAGGUCCCCUUUAAGGUAUUUUAAAGGCCAGAUGCCUGGAAGGUUGCCAGGAAAAUAGGGCUAACCUCGAAUGGUGUCCUGGUCAUCAAUGAGCAGGUCCCCUGAGACCACCGUCUUGUCCCUCGUCAGGAUAAUGCGCUCCACAAACUGCGGCCCCAGGACGGGCACGGAACGCGCUGGGGACGCCGGGCCGGAGCUCCCUAAGGCCCGAAUCAUGGGGGCUCUGCGCAGUGAAUCAUGGGGUUCACUGUGAAGUGGACGGCUGCUGAAGGCCCUGGCUCGUGAGUCGAGCUCCCAAGAGACGAACUCACAGACCAGAGUGGGGAGCGUCGGCUCCAACAAGCUCAGAACAAAGAGCUUUCCUAUCAUCUGUCUGCGCAGAUCCUCUUCUUCCUCAGAAGUCCUCUGCCGUUACCACCCACCACGGAGAAGCACCUCGAAGGAGAAGAAUUAAAACCUUACCCGUUACCACCCAGCACAGAGGGAUUUAUAGUACAGAAAAAAAGCAACUGAACAGAGAGACCAGUGAAACAAUCUCAAAAAGAUGACACAGGACACAAUGUUCAAAAUUUGUACAUUGUUUACUUUAAGCAACAGUCCGGGAUCGUACAACACACAUGUUAAGGAUAGGACCUCGGUUCAUGGUCAAGCGCCAGCAUCGUGCACACGGCUUCAAGUUAUCGAAGAAGAGCACUGCCCCCCUUGGGGUCUGUGCACGACGAAGACCCACUUCUGCGUGCUCACCGCCCUCGCUCGCUCUCCCGAAUUUGUCGGUCUGAGCGCACAUCGUGGCCUUCUGCGGGAGCAGCAGGCGCGGCUCGUCAGCUAGUUGAGUCAGCAUCUGGCUUAUUAAGGUUCAGACAUUUGAAAGGCAGUUUUUUGCUUUUGUUUUUUGCUUUGCAGGCAGCAAGGCAUGAGGCACGGGCCUCUGCUGUUCCUUAGGGCACUGGAAGAUGCUUUUAGCGAGGGGCACGGACAAGGCGGGGCUACAACGAGGAGGUUUGGCGUAAAGACAGCCCUGUGUUCGGGGGCCGGAAGGAACAUGCCUGUGGACUGCUCACUGGUCUGCCCCGUCGAGGCUUGGUAAACCCGGGUAAAGCUGACGAGAAAAGCGUUUUAAAAACCGCAGUACAAAAGAUCCUCUAACACAUUUGAACCAGGUUAUUCUUAAAAACACCAUACUAAGUGUCACAAAACUUCCCCUCCAAUCUACUACUAGAAAACACUCAUGCCAUGGCCCACAGACCCGGAGGGAUCAGGACAGAUCAAGAGAAACCUGUUCUUUAAAAACCAACCAACCAACAAAAAAAAGACAGCGGUACAUAAAGUGCUUCUUUUUUAAUGAAACAAAUCCAAAAGAUGUACAGUCAGGCUCAAGUUGUGCAGUUCACAAGCAUGGAGAAAACAAACAAAACGACAGAGUUCGAGAGUCGGAGCUAACCCAGGACGAGGCUGGACUUGCCGCCAGGGGGAUUUCUUCGCGAAGGCGCCGGGGCCGGGGCCACUGGGCUGGGCACAGGGGCAGCGGGCACGGGCUUCUCCUCGCUCUGCCCCAGGCUGGCCUGCAAGUCUGUGUCCACAUGUUCUAGAAAAACAGAAGGAGGUUCAGCCUUACUAAGCAACUAUUUCUAGGGAUAAGGUGGGGGUUUUUUUGUUGUUUUGUUAAUUUUUGAGGAUGGUUCAAAUCCUACCUACGGAUAUAGGACAGCAAUCCUUCAAGAACGUUCCCACAACCCAAACUAACUACUGUUAGUGUUUUGCCAUAUUUGUCCCCAGGCCUUUUUUGUGUGCUCAUUUCUACACUGUACAAAUAUAUGAAGAUGGCAGGAUUUUAAGUUAGAGGCCCACAUCCGUGUGGGGCUCUUCUCCUGACUCCCAGAGGGCCUGCUCUGAAUUAUGUUUACUGACUGCUUAUAAGUGCAUUUUAUUCCCAACAGAUAAUGCAUACAUCUGGGUUUUGUUGUUGUAUUUAACAUAAAUGAUUAUCAACUUCCUUUUUUAUACUUGGAAAUUUACCCGUAUUUAUAUACAUGGCUGUAAUUCACCCUACUUAGUUCCUUUAUAGUAUUUUAUCAUGAUUCAGUAUAUUUGAUAUAAUAUAGUACUGCAUUUGCUCUACUAGUAGCGAAACUGGAACCGACCCAACCAUUCCAAACAAAGCUGGGAUGUACAAAGACUGGAAGAGGCGCCCACGGGGAGCCCAGGGCUGCCGUCUUCAAUCUGGACAGACCCCACACGCCGCCCUCCCUCCCCAGCCCCCGCCCCACUACGCUGCCCGCACGCCUUCACGCAUCCAGUAUUCCAUAACCACCUCACUUUAAAAUUUGCCAAACCGAUGGGGGAAAUGUUAUUUCAUUCCUGUUUGAUGUCACAUUCCCAAGAUUACUAGGUGAGCCUGAUGUCCUUCUCUAACCACAAAGCUAACCAGGUGUACCCACAUCAUUUAUCAGUCUACCUUUCCCCUACUGGCUGGCACUGUCUCCCCUGAUCAGGUCACUCCCAUUUAUGUUCACUAGGUCGCUCCAGGUUAGACUUCAGAAUCAGUGUACUCUUACCCAGCAUCCUAGAGCCUGCUUGAUGAUUCACUCAUCUGUGAAAUUUCCAACAAACAUAUAUUCUUUAUGAGGUGGUUUCCACACCUGGAAAAGUCUUUGUUCAAACUCAAAAGUGAUAAUGAAAUGCCAGGUCUCAUUUCAGUGUUAAACCAUCGGAUUCAAUUCAGUUGCAUAAUCUAACACCUGCUUUGGAACAAAAUCUCUUGGGACAUCUGGGUGGCUCAGUUGGUUGGGCAUCCGACUCUGGCCUAGGUCAUGAUCUUGCCGUUCCCAGGUUCA